UCUGGCCAUUCCACCCUGAAUGCACAUGACUUUGUCUGAUCUCAGAAGCUAAGUAGGGUCAGGUCGGGCCUGUUAGUAGUAAGAUGGAGAAAGAUGCAAAAGUUACAUGUGGUUUACAGAG
rnacentral:rRNA from 1 species